rnacentral:rRNA from 1 species
CACCUGGUUGAUCCUGCCAGUGGUAUAUGCUUGUCUCAAGGACUAAGCCAUGCAAGUGCCAGUAUAAGUGAGUUAUACAACGAAACUGCGAAUGGCUCGGUAAAACAGCUAUAAUUUCUUCGGGGAUUUAUACUACCGGAUAUCCGUAGUAAUUCUAGAGCUAAUACGUACGCAAACACGGGAUUUUUCUCGUGGUACUUAUUAUCGAUACAAGCCAACUUGUUUGGUGAUUCUAAAUAAUUUUUCGGAUCGAAUUUAUUCGACGCCCCGUUCAAAUUUCUGACCUAUCAACUUCGGAUGGUAAGGUAGUGUCUUACCAUGGUUGUGACGGGUAACGGACCGUGGGUGCGGGAUUCCGGAGAGGGAGCCUGAGAAACGGCUACCACAUCCAAGGAAGGCAGCAGGCGCGUAAAUUACCCAAUCCGGACACCGGGAGGUAGUGACAAGAAAUAGCAAUAGGGGGCCCAAUGGGCUUCCUAAUUGGAAUGAGAACAAGGUAAACGGCUUAUCGAGGAGCCAGCAGAGGGCAAGUCUGGUGCCAGCAGCCGCGGUAAUUCCAGCUCUGUAAGCGUAUACCAAAGUUGUUGCAGUUAAAACGCUCGUAGUCGAAUUUUGGCGGGCACCGUGGAUCGUUCGCGAGAAUGUUUCUACGUUGGCCGCCUUUGUGGAUGGGGGCUCGAUGGCGCUUUAUUGCUUCGUUGAGUCACCGCCACCGUUUACUGUGAAAAAAUUAGAGUGUUCAAAGCGGGCGAUUGCCACGAAUACAUUAGCAUGGAAUAAUAGAAUAGGACCUGUGUCUUAUUUUGUUGGUUUUGUUAAGUUCAGGUAAUGAUUAAGAGGGACGGUUGGGGGCAUUUGUAUUCCGGCGCCAGAGGUGAAAUUCUUGGAUUGCCGGAAGACAAACAGCUGCGAAAGCGUCUGCCAAGGACGUUUUCAUUGAUCAAGAACGAAAGUAAGGGGAUCGAAGACGAUCAGAUACCGUCGUAGUCUUUACUAUAAACGAUGAGGACUAGGGAUCGGGCGUAUUCUUUUGUUAACGCUCGGCACCUUCCGGGAAACCAAAGUUUUUGCUUUCUGGGGGGAGUAUGGUCGCAAGGCUGAAACUUAAAGGAAUUGACGGAAGGGCAUCACCGGGUGUGGAGCCUGCGGCUUAAUUUGACUCAACACGGGAAAACUUACCAGGUCAGGACAUCAGUAGGAUUAACAGAUUGAGAGCUCUUUUUUGAUUUGAUGGUUGGUGGUGCAUGGCCGUUCUUAGUUGGUGGAGUGAUCUGUCUGGUUAAUUCCGUUAACGAGCGAGACCUGAGCGCGCUAAUUACUCGAGCUUGGCUUGUCCAAGUACAAACUGAGAUAUUAGACGGACUGUGGGCGUCUAGUCCACGGAAGCUUCAGGCAAUAACAGGUCUGAGAUGCCCUUAGAUGUUCUGGGCCGCACGCGUGCUACACUGAGCGGAUCAACGGGUGAGGUGAUGCGAAAGCACUACCUAAUCUCUAAACCCGCUCGUGAUGGGGAUUGAGGCUUGCAAUUUUCCCUCCUGAACGAGGAAUACCUUGUAAGCACGGGUCAUCAUCCCGUGCUGAAUACGUCCCUGCCCUUUGUACACACCGCCCGUCGCUCCUACCGAUUGAGUGGUCCGGUGAGGCCUCGGGAGGGCUAAUUGAACUGUUUUUACAGAUCUUUUGGCCCAAACUUGGUCAAACCUUAUCACUUAGAGGAAGGAGAAGUCGUAACAAGGUUUCCGUAGGUGAACCUGCAGAAGGAUCAAGCU